UCCCUCGUGGCCCAAUGGUAAAGCACCUGCCUUGCAAUGCAGGGGACGUGGGUUCGAUUCCUGGUCAGGGAU
rnacentral:tRNA from 1 species